rnacentral:rRNA from 1 species
UGAGGAAUUUUCGGCAAUGGAGGCAACUCUGACCGAGCAACGCCGCGUGCAGGAGGAAGGUCUUCGGAUCGUAAACUGCUUUUCUCAGGGACGAGCAAGGACGGUACCUGAGGAACAAGCCCCGGCUAACUACGUGCCAGCAGCCGCGGUAAUACGUAGGGGGCCAGUGUUGUCCGGAGUUACUGGGCGUAAAGGGCCCGCAGGCGGUGGGGUGCGUUUGCCCUGACAGGUGCCAGCUUAACUGGCACAGGUGGGCAAAAACGGCCGCACUUCGAGGACCAGAGAGGGACAUGGAACUCCAGGUGUAGUGGUGAAAUGCGUAGAUAUCUGGAAGAACACCAAAGGCGAAGGCAGUGUCCUGGCUGGUACCUGACGCUCGGGGGCGAAAGCUAGGGGAGCGAAC